GGGGUGCAGCAGGCGCGAAAACUUUGCAAUACACGAAAGUGUGACAGGGUUAUCCCGAGUGCCGACCGCUGAGGUUGGCUUUUACCCAGUCUAGAAAGCUGGGGGAAUAAGGAGAGGGCAAGUCUGGUGUCAGCCGCCGCGGUAAUACCAGCUCUCCGAGUGGUGUGGACGUUUAUUGGGCCUAAAGCAUCCGUAGCUGGCUGAACAAGUCCCCUGUUAAACCCACCGAUUUAAUCGUUGGCGUGCGGGGGAUACUGCUCGGCUAGGGGACGAGAGAGGCAGACGGUAUUCCCGGGGUAGGGGUGAAAUCCUAUAAUCCCGAGAAGACCACCAGUGGCGAAGGCUGUCUGCUAGAACGCGCCCGACGGUGAGGGAUGAAAGCUGGGGGAGCGAACCGGAUUAGAUACCCGGGUAGUCCCAGCUGUAAACGAUGCAGACUAGGUGUUUGGACGGCCACGUGCCGUUCUAGUGCCGCAGGGAAGCUGUUAAGUCUGCCGCCUGGGGAGUACGAUCGCAAGAUUGAAACUUAAAGGAAUUGGCGGGGGAGCAC
rnacentral:rRNA from 1 species